rnacentral:rRNA from 1 species
AUUGAACGCUGGCGGCAUGCCUAACACAUGCAAGUCGAACGGUAACAGGUUUCCGGAUGCUGAUGAGUGGCGGACGGGGGAGUAAUACACCGGAACGUGUCCGAUCGUGGGGGAUAACGAAGCGUAAGCUAUGCUAAUAUCCCAUACGAUCUAAGGAUGAGAGCAGGGGACAGCAAGGGCUCUCGCGAACGGAGCGGACGAUGGUGGCUUAGGUAGUUGGUGGGAUAAAGGCCUACCAAGCCGACGAUCUGUAGCUGGUCUGAGAGGACGAUCAGCCACACUGGAACUGAGACACGGCCCAGACUCCUACGGGAGGCAGCAGUGGGGAAUUUUGGACAAUGGGCGAAAGCCUGAUCCAGCCAUGCCGCGUGCGGGAUGAAGGCCUUCGGGUUGUAAACUGCUUUUGUACGGAACGAAAAGACUCUGGUUAAUACCUGGCGUCCAUGACGGUACCGUAAGAAUAAGCACCGGCUAACUACGUG